UGAACGCUAGCUACAGGCGUUAACACAUGCAAGUCGAGGGGCGAGCAUGAUCGAAGCUUGCUUGAUGAUGGCGACCGGCGCACGGGUGAGUAACGCGUAUCCAACCUUCCCUAUAGUAGAGGAUAGCCGACGAAAGUCGGAUUAAUACUCUAUGUUUUCCGUAAGCAGACAUCUAAUUUGGAACAAAGGUUCACCGCUAUAGGAUGGGGAUGCGUCUGAUUAGGUAGUAGGCGGGGUAACGGCCCACCUAGCCGACGAUCAGUAGGGGUUCUGAGAGGAAGGUCCCCCACAUUGGAACUGAGACACGGUCCAAACUCCUACGGGAGGCAGCAGUGAGGAAUAUUGGUCAAUGGGCGAGAGCCUGAACCAGCCCAAGUAGCGUGCAGGAUGACGGCCCUAUGGGUUGUAAACUGCUUUUAUACGGGGAUAAAGUGAGGGACGUGUCCCUUUUUGUAGGUACCGUAUGAAUAAGGACCGGCUAAUUCCGUGCCAGCCGCCGC
rnacentral:rRNA from 1 species